rnacentral:rRNA from 1 species
UGAGGAAUAUUGGUCAAUGGGCGAUGGCCUGAACCAGCCAAGUAGCGUGAAGGAUGACUGCCCUAUGGGUUGUAAACUUCUUUUAUAAAGGAAUAAAGUCGGGUAUGCAUACCCGUUUGCAUGUACUUUAUGAAUAAGGAUCGGCUAACUCCGUGCCAGCAGCCGCGGUAAUACGGAGGAUCCGAGCGUUAUCCGGAUUUAUUGGGUUUAAAGGGAGCGUAGAUGGAUGUUUAAGUCAGUUGUGAAAGUUUGCGGCUCAACCGUAAAAUUGCAGUUGAUACUGGAUGUCUUGAGUGCAGUUGA